rnacentral:tRNA from 1 species
GCCCAGGUAGCUCAAUCGGUAGAGCGUGUGGCUCUUAGGGUGAUAUUGAGAUAGGCGGCGACUUCAAGGUCGCAGGUUCAAGCCCCGCCUCGGGCU